rnacentral:lncRNA from 1 species
UCAUCCGCCAUAUUUUCAGUCCUACGGUUGCAUCAAAGUCCCAAACCCUUUACAAAACAAUUUUCUCUCUCUCAGUGCUUCAAUUUCAUCCGCCAUUUCCGAACCAUCUUCAAAGUUUUCUCAAGAAAAUACAUAUUCAGUCACUAUGUUGUAGUUUUCUCAAUUUCAUCCGCCACAUUUCUCCCCUUUUUUUUUUCCUCAAUGUGUUGUAGUUUAAUAUUUUUUGCCAAAAAAUAAAAUGCAAGUGUUUGUUUGGUGUUUAAGUGUUUUUUGUCUAAAUGUACUGUAUUAUUGCAUACUAGGGUUGUUUAUACAAAUUGUAGUUACUUGUAGUUUUUUGGAGUUAAUUUGUAGUUAAUUGGCAAAAUGUACUGUUGAAUCAAAUUUGUAGUUAAUUGUAGUGUUUUUAGUUUAAUGUAGUUUAAUGUACGUUUUAUUUGGAAUUGUGAUAAAAAUACAGUGUAUAAAGUAGUUACAUUGUAC